rnacentral:rRNA from 1 species
AUUGAACGCUGGCGGCAGGCUUAACACAUGCAAGUCGAGCGGGGUGAUGGUGCUUGCACUAUCACUUAGCGGCGGACGGGUGAGUAAUGCUUAGGAAUCUGCCUAUUAGUGGGGGACAACAUCUCGAAAGGGAUGCUAAUACCGCAUACGUCCUACGGGAGAAAGGAGGGGAUCAUCGGCCCUUGCGCUAAUAGAUGAGCCUAAGUCGGAUUAGCUAGUUGGUGGGGUAAAGGCCUACCAAGGCGACGAUCUUUAGCGGGUCUGAGAGGAUGAUCCGCCACACUGGGACUGAGACACGGCCCAGACUCCUACGGGAGGCAGCAGUGGGGAAUAUUGGACAAUGGGGGGAACCCUGAUCCAGCCAUGCCGCGUGUGUGAAGAAGGCCUUAUGGUUGUAAAGCACUUUAAGCGAGGAGGAGGCUACUCUAGUUAAUACCUAGGGAUAGUGGACGUUACUCGCAGAAUAAGCACCGGCUAACUCUGUGCCAGCCGCCGCCGUAA